rnacentral:lncRNA from 1 species
AAGGCCUGCACCGCUUGUAUUUUCAUGCGUGCCAAGGGUGCAAAUAAAUAUAUGAUGUCAGAAACACAACAACAAUCAUUGAUAGAGAAAAAAAAAUACUGCCAUGCAUCAUUGGCUGGGUGGCCACCGAGCAGCAGGAGAGGGCACGCGCAAUAACAUGAAGAUGGAGAGUGAGAAGAAGAGAAGAAAAUACUCCACCAGCAGCAAUGACUCGGACACCACUGACAGUCAAGUGACCUCUUGGUCCAGGUCCUCCAAGAACACUGGGACCAGCAGCACCUGGGUCAGACAGGAGCACAAGAAACCGUCUGAGGUGAGUGACUGCCAACUACAUGCUAUACACAACUCUCUUGUGAGUCUCAAAUGGCACCUUACUUCCGUUAUAGUGCACUUCUUCUUUUGUCCAGGGUCAGAAAUAGUGCACUAUAUAGGGAAUAAUGGGCCCUGGUGAGUAGGGUGCCACUUGGGAUGCAGACGCUGACUAAUAAUAAAUAAUACAUGGGAUUUAAAGUGCCUUUUUAAGAAAUCCAAGGCGAUUGUACAGCAAGUGAGUAAAAAAAACAAAACAAGGAUCAAACUAUAGAAUAAAAAGAAAUUAAAGCUACACAGGGUUUUUUCUGGAUCAAAAAUAAGCUUAGGUGGUGUCCGGGGGCGUGGCAAUGGGUGUGGUCGGCCUGUAGCAUGGAUGAAUUUUAGAGGCCCUCAUCUUGGUGGUGUGGAGUGUUGCAUUUUUGAAGCAAAUUUUCUGCAGUAUCACAUUCUGCGAUGGAGCUGAGAAAAUCUAUUUCAUACAUUUGUCUAAUGCUGUGUGUUGCUCAAACAUAACUAAAUCAAUACUGAGAAAUUAAUUGUUUUCGGACUUUUUAAAUAUCCCUGGCUGUCUAGCUUUUAUUUUGGGGAUUGUUAAUACUUGGAAAUAUUAUAAUCUUUGAGAAUUAAGGGUCCAUUAUCAUUUCUACAUACUUUAUAUCUGGG